AAUUUACGACGAAUUUGCGACGAUAUGUAAUCUUAUAUAUACACCCGCUCACUCUUUAUUUCUUCUCUACUUCCUCUCUACUUCCUCUCCACUUCCUCCCCAUUUCGUAGCAAUGGUAAGCCUGAUUCCUCUCUGAUUUGGUUAGAUACAUUAGGUGGUUAGUAUAGGGAAUUUAGAUAGGUUUGCGAAUUUUAUGUUAUUUAGUGUUGAUUAGGUGGAUAAUGUUGGAAAAUAUAU
rnacentral:lncRNA from 1 species